UACGGGGGGAGCAAGCGUUGUUCGGAUUUACUGGGCGUAAAGGGCGCGUAGGCGGUCAGCACAAGUCAGUUGUGAAAUCUCCGGGCUUAACUCGGAAAGGUCAACUGAUACUGUGCGACUAGAGUGCAGAAGGGGCAACUGGAAUUCUCGGUGUAGCGGUGAAAUGCGUAGAUAUCGAGAGGAACACCUGCGGCGAAGGCGGGUUGCUGGGCUGACACUGACGCUGAUGCGGCGAAAGCCAGGGGAGCGAACGGG
rnacentral:rRNA from 1 species